rnacentral:rRNA from 1 species
UGCGUAGGUGGGCAGGUAAGUCAGUGGUGAAAUCUCUGGGCUUAACCCAGAAACUGCCGUUGAUACUAUCUGCCUUGAAUGUAGUGGAGGUGAGCGGAAUAUGUCAUGUAGCGGUGAAAUGCUUAGAUAUGACAUAGAACACCUAUUGCGAAGGCAGCUCGCUACACUAUUAUUGACGCUGAGGCACGAAAGCGUGGGGAUCAAACAGGAUUAGAUACCCUGGUAGUCCACGCCCUAAACGAUGGAUACUCGACAUCAGCGAUACACUGUUGGUGUCUGAGCGAAAGCAUUAAGUAUCCCACCUGGGAAGUACGACCGCAAGGUUGAA